CCUACGGGCGGCAGCAGUGAGGAAUAUUGGUCAAUGGACGAGAGUCUGAACCAGCCAAGUAGCGUGAAGGAUGACUGCCCUAUGGGUUGUAAACUUCUUUUAUAUGGGAAUAAAAUGUUCCACGUGUGGGAUUUUGUAUGUACCAUAUGAAUAAGGAUCGGCUAACUCCGUGCCAGCAGCCGCGGUAAUACGGAGGAUCCGAGCGUUAUCCGGAUUUAUUGGGUUUAAAGGGAGCGUAGGUGGAUUGUUAAGUCAGUUGUGAAAGUUUGCGGCUCAACCGUAAAAUUGCAGUUGAAACUGGCAGUCUUGAGUACAGUAGAGGUGGGCGGAAUUCGGGGUGUAGCGGUGAAAUGCUUAGAUAUCACGAAGAACUCCGAUUGCGAAGGCAGUUCACUGGACUGCAACUGACACUGAGGCUCGAAAGUGUGGGUAUCAAACAGGAUUAGAUACCCCUGUAGUC
rnacentral:rRNA from 1 species